GAUGAACGCUGGCGGCGUGCCUAAUACAUGCAAGUCGAGCGAACAGACGAGGAGCUUGCUCCUCUGACGUUAGCGGCGGACGGGUGAGUAACACGUGGAUAACCUACCUAUAAGACUGGGAUAACUUCGGGAAACCGGAGCUAAUACCGGAUAAUAUAUUGAACCGCAUGGUUCAAUAGUGAAAGACGGUUUUGCUGUGACUUAUAGAUGGAUCCGCGCCGCAUUAGCUAGUUGGUAAGGUAACGGCUUACCAAGGCGACGAUGCGUAGCCGACCUGAGAGGGUGAUCGGCCACACUGGAACUGAGACACGGUCCAGACUCCUACGGGAGGCAGCAGUAGGGAAUCUUCCGCAAUGGGCGAAAGCCUGACGGAGCAACGCCGCGUGAGUGAUGAAGGUCUUCGGAUCGUAAAACUCUGUAAUUAGGGAAGAACAAAUGUGUAAGUAACUAUGCACGUCUUGACGGUACCUAAUCAGAAAGCCACGGCUAACUACGUG
rnacentral:rRNA from 1 species